rnacentral:tRNA from 1 species
UGGAAAGUUACUCAAGCUGGUUUAAGAGGACCCUCUGCUAAUGGGUUAGGGUGUCAUAGCUGCGUGGGUUCGAAUCCCACACUUUCCGU